rnacentral:rRNA from 1 species
AGAGUUUGAUCCUGGCUCAGAUUGAACGCUGGCGGCAUGCCUUACACAUGCAAGUCGAACGGCAGCACGGGUGCUUGCACCUGGUGGCGAGUGGCGAACGGGUGAGUAAUAUAUCGGAACGUGCCUUGUAGUGGGGGAUAGCUCGGCGAAAGCCGGAUUAAUACCGCAUACGAUCUUAGGAUGAAAGCGGGGGACCUUCG